AUUGAACGCUGGCGGCAUGCCUUACACAUGCAAGUCGAACGGUAACAGGUCUUCGGAUGCUGACGAGUGGCGAACGGGUGAGUGAUACAUCGGAACGUGCCUAGUAGUGGGGGAUAACUACUCGAAAGAGUGGCUAAUACCGCAUGAGAUCUACGGAUGAAAGCAGGGGAUCGCAAGACCUUGUGCUACUAGAGCGGCCGAUGGCAGAUUAGGUAGUUGGUGGGAUAAAAGCUUACCAAGCCGACGAUCUGUAGCUGGUCUGAGAGGACGAUCGGCCACACUGGGACUGAGAAACGGCCCAGACUCCUACGGGAGGCAGCAGUGGGGAAUUUUGGACAAUGGGCGAAAGCCUGAUCCAGCAAUGCCGCGUGCAGGAUGAAGGCCUUCGGGUUGUAAACUGCUUUUGUACGGAACGAAAAGCCCCGGGUUAAUACCCUGGGGUCAUGACGGUACCGUAAGAAUAAGCACCGGCUAACUACGUGCCAGCCGCCGCCGUAA
rnacentral:rRNA from 1 species